GACGAACGCUGGCGGCGUGCUUAACACAUGCCAGUCGAACGGAAAGGCCCUGCUUUUGUGGGGUGCUCGAGUGGCGAACGGGUGAGUAACACGUGAGUACCUGCCCUUGACUUUGGGAUAACUUCAGGAAACUGGGGCUAAUACCGGAUAGGAGCUCCUGCUGCAUGGUGGGGGUUGGAAAGUUUCGGCGGUUGGGGAUGGACUCGCGGCUUAUCAGCUUGUUGGUGGGGUAGUGGCUUACCAAGGCUUUGACGGGUAGCCGGCCUGAGAGGGUGACCGGCCACAUUGGGACUGAGAUACGGCCCAGACUCCUACGGGAGGCAGCAGUGGGGAAUAUUGCACAAUGGGCGGAAGCCUGAUGCAGCAACGCCGCGUGCGGGAUGACGGCCUUCGGGUUGUAAACCGCUUUCGCCUGUGACGAAGCGUGAGUGACGGUAAUGGGUAAAGAAGCACCGGCUAACUACGUG
rnacentral:rRNA from 1 species